rnacentral:rRNA from 1 species
GAUUUUUUAAAUUGCUGUGGUAUUUUAACUAUACAAAGGUAUUGAAAUAAGAUUUUAAUUGAAUGCUAAGAGAAUGGAAUUUCAGAAAAAUGCUUUUUUAAAAUUAAAAAUUGAAGUUAUUUUAAUUUGUGAAGAAACAAUUAUUUAUAUUAAGGACAAGAAGACCCUAUGAAUUUUUUAUGUUUUAUAAAAAAAAUAUUUUUAUAAAACAUUUUAAUUGGGGCGAUUAAAAAAUAUAAUUAACUUUUUUUUUAAAAAAAUGAUCCAUUAAUAAUGAUAGUGUGGUAAAAUACUCUAGGGAUAACAGCGUAAUAAUUUUUGAUAGGCCAUAUUGACAAAAUAGUUUGCGACCUCGAUGUUGGAUUAGGAUACUUUUUUAAUGGAGAUAUUAAG